rnacentral:rRNA from 1 species
CCUACGGGAGGCAGCAGUGAGGAAUAUUGGUCAAUGGGCGCGAGCCUGAACCAGCCAAGUAGCGUGAAGGAUGACUGCCCUACGGGUUGUAAACUUCUUUUAUAAAGGAAUAAAGUGAGGCACGUGUGCCUUUUUGUAUGUACUUUAUGAAUAAGGAUCGGCUAACUCCGUUCCAGCAGCCGCGGUAAUACGGAGGAUCCGAGCGUUGUCCGGUUUUAUUGGGUUUAAAGGGAGCGUAGAUGGGUUGUUAAGUCAGUUGUGAAAGUUUGCGGCUCAACCGUAAAAUUGCAAUUGAUACUGGCAGUCUUGAGUACAGUUGAGGUAGGCGGAAUGCGUGGUGUAGCGGUGAAAUGCAUAGAUAUCACGCAGAACCCCGAUUGCGAAGGCAGCAGGCCGGCUUCCGACUGACGCUGAAGCACGAAAGCGUGGGGAUCGAACAGGAUUAGAUACCCUGGUAGUC